rnacentral:tRNA from 1 species
GGGGCGGUAGCUCAGCUGGUCAGAGCAUCGGACUCAUAAUCCGCCGGUCACGGGUUCAAAUCCCGUCCGCCCUACCGUCC